UAGGGAAUCUUCCACAAUGGACGCAAGUCUGAUGGAGCAACGCUUCGUGAGUGAAGAAGGUUUUCGGACCGUAAAGCUCUGUUGUUGGUGAAGAAGGAUAGAGGUAGUAACUGGCCUUUAUUUGACGGUAAUCAACCAGAAAGUCACGGCUAACUACGUGCCAGCAGCCGCGGUAAUACGUAGGUGGCAAGCGUUGUCCGGAUUUAUUGGGCGUAAAGCGAGCGCAGGCGGAAGAAUAAGUCUGAUGUGAAAGCCCUCGGCUUAACCGAGGAAUUGCAUCGGAAACUGUUUUCUUGAGUGCAGAAGAGGAGAGUAGAACUCCAUGUGUAGCGGUGGAAUGCGUAGAUAUAUGGAAGAAUACCAGUGGCGAAGGCGGCUCUCUGGUCUGCAACUGACGCUGAGGCUCGAAAGCAUGGGUAGCGAACAGGAUUAGAUACCCUGGUAGUCCAUGCCGUAAACGAUGAGUGCUAAGUGUUGGGAGGCUUCCGCCUCUCAGUGCUGCAGCUAACGCAUUAAGCACUCCGCCUGGGGGAGUACG
rnacentral:rRNA from 1 species